CAGAUACUAUCCCACAGACCUUCUCUUGGGACAGGGGGGGUGAGGCAGUACGUGCCGUUUUAAGCCAUGAGCUCCUUUCCGAAAAUACAUGCAAGUGUUCUCCUAAAUGCUGUGAAACUGGCCUGAGCCUGUGAGGAUUUGGGAUUGUGCACAAACCAGCCUGUCUUGAUGGAGCCAAGGAGAUCUGUAUACAUUCUGCUUGCAGGGUUUCAGGUGCGAGAAUCUCAUCUUCAGUCUGCAGACCAACACCAUGCAAAAAGAAUAUGGCUUAUUAGAUGGUGGUGGUAUCCAUUCAGUGAUAUGUCAUGAAGCAGCAAAUGCCAGUGUCUGUAUACUUGUAUAUGGACAGAAGCAGUUCUUCUGCAAUAGCCAUCAGCUGAAAGGAGGAACCAGCCCAGUCCCAGGAAAUACAGACAAAAAUGCACACAAGUCUCUGGCAGCAAUACCUGAGAAAGCUUUAUAGUGAAAAAGCAUUUGUGUUUCUUCCUGAAAACAAAACAGCUGGGGAAAAAAAAAAAAAUCAGCCAAAGAUGCUUCUUCUGAAGAACUCUGUGCAAUUUGCUUCACAAUUAGACACUUGAAAGGCACCUAACAGGGUUGUCUGGAACCCAUUUAAGAGAAGGACAGGGGGCUGCCUAUUCUGUCCAUGGCUGAGGAGGGAACUGGGGCUCUAUCAUGGGUGAUUUGCAAACAUCCAAAAGAGAGCCUUCAUUGUACUCUGGGGGGGCUGGAGGCCCAGUUAGUAUUUGGUGUGGUGCUGUGUCACCCAGAAUAUAUUCUUUCUAGAGAGCCGUGCCUGGUACCUGCAUUGUUUUCCUCAUUCAUUAUAUACUGGGCAUGCAUUAGUGACAGCACCAUAGGAAAUUGUAUUCAUCAUGCUAAAUUGCAUAUAUCUACCUGUCAGAAGCCUGCAUGUUACCCCAGUAAGGGCCAAGGCUUGACUGCUUCUUAGUAGUCUGGUGCAGAAGCGCACAUUACACAACUACCCUGUGUUCAAAUGAACCAAUACCUCAGACAGUAGCUGGUGCAAACCAGGAUGGCAGCUGUCUGUGGAUAUAAUCACAACUGAAGACAUACUGCCAGGGCUUCUGUGUCCUGGUUGCACAGCUAGGGGCAGAGCACUCAACUAUUUCUAAAGCUAGAUAUGCAAAUGCCUCUGGAAUGGAGCCUUUUACAGUUCUGCUCUCAUUAACCUGAUUUGCAUAUGUAAAUGACCUCUUGCCACAUGAUAAUGAGGUCUGCUCAUACAGAGAUGUUCAGCAUAUAAGGAGAGGGUUUUCAGUGACAAUCAGAGCAUUUUGGCCAAAGCAGCUGGUACAAGGACAGGACCAAGAAAGAAGUAAAGGCAGGAUCCAGGGACAACAGGGCAGGGAAGCAGAGGGAAGCAAAAGAAAAUCAAACGCUGCAGAUGUCUCCUCCAAAUGCCAAGGGCAUCUGCAGUUCUAGUGCCUUACUGGAGCAAUUUCAUAGUGGAGUCUGUGAAAUGAGAGCAGCUGGAGGACACUGACAAUUGGGAAGUGACCUGUGGCGUGGAGCUCCAUGGAAGAUAGCGGAUGUCUGGCUAUCGUAGAACAGCAAGCACGUGGCCUAGCAUUCACUGGCUGGUUUAAAGCAGCCUCUUCCAGUUAUUCCUAUGAGCACCAUCACAGAGAGCUGGACACAUGGCAAUGGGUCAGUCCUUCUUCAAGAGCAGUCUCCAGUUUAAUCAUUUCUCUGUGAUUACCUCCUUACCACUGGCACACUCAUCCAGAGGUGACACUUCUCAUUUCUUAUUCCUCAUAUGCUGCUUAGCUUCUCAUCAGGGAUAUUUCAUACCUAUGCCUCACUUAGUGCAUGUGGAGGCAAGACAAAAUCCUUCCUAGGUUUUCCUCCUUGGAUACCAUGCCCCUUUUAGAGAAGAAAUGACUGCUCAUAUCCUGAGAUAUUUGUCUUCCUGCUUGCCAUGUUUAACUCUUGAUUCCUGGUCCUGCUACAGAACAUUCAGCCGCUGAGGAUUUGCUGACUCAGAGCUCUUCAAAACCUACCUGAUUGGGCACCAUCUUUAUCCAGUUCAGAAAGAGGGAAUGAUCAGUUCCACUCAGACUUGCCCAGCUGUCUCAGGUAGGAAUACAACCCUUCUUUCUUUGAAAAGAGGAAAAGGCUGUAGAAGAUGGUAGUUAAUACCUGUUACUGGGGAAAAAGAAAUAAAAUAAUUGUGGGCUAACUCAGGAUUUGCCUGCAUAAAACCUUGUACUGGUACAUGGGAAGUGGUCGGUCUCUUUUUGUCACUGGAAAAAUAAUAGUAGCCAGUAUCAAAUAUCAAGAGCCCUAUUUAUAGCUGGUAAGCCACCAAACUGAGGUUAAAAAAAAAAAUGGUAGGGAUGCACAUCACAGUCAAUAAAUAAGAAUCUGUGUUGGUAUCUUUGUGAGCUAGCCAGAGUUAAGCUAAAUUAAGUUAAAAAAGUAGUGAAGACAAAGCAACUUGUGUAUUAGAUUAAUUUAGGAAGUUGAAUUCAAGCCUGUAAAGGAAAUUAGUUCAUCUCAUGACUACUUUUGGUUCACUCCCACUCAUACCAAAGGGAAGAUAAUGCAUAUGGGAGACAGAGAAACUUGACACACUUGUAUUUCUUUACCUGUCCACUGCUGACAGAGCCAUGCAGUGUGACUACAAGUAAUGGUUAACUUCAAAGCACUAAAAACUGAUUGUCGAACAUGCCCCAUCCUUUCUGCACAUCAGUAGGCAGUUCCUGGAGCAUCCACUGGCCCAAGCCCAACUCAUCUGUGUUCCACCCUUCACAAUGUCAUUACAUGAAGGAAUGAUGGUGUAAUCCCUCCCCAUCAUGUCCACCAGCAUAAACAUGAGAUUCAAUUUUACUGUAGUCACGCUGUCAGUAUAGUAUUUCCCAGUCAAUAAUAUCAUCCAGGCCCAUGACUGUCCCUUCCUAAAAAGCCUUCAGGUCUGGACCCUAAUUUUCUAAGCUUACAUCCCAAAGCCCUCUCAACACUGGGUGCUUUUAACAAAAGCAACAGUCUUGCAUAUCUAUGCUAAUAUUAAUUUGUUUGGUGGUCGUAAGGGAAGUGUUGUAAUGUGCAGAAUGACCUAGAAAUGAGUAGUGUCUGAAGAGCAUAGUCUGGGUCUUGUGGUUUAUUCAUAUAAAUAAAUCAGAAGGAUCAAGCAGAGCAUGCAGGGUCUUUUGAGUGUUUCUGUGUAGCCUGUCUGAGCAGCAAGCCCUUAACCACACACUCAAGCAACCUCUGGGAGUAUUAAGUCAAUUUGGGCAACUAACAACCUGUCCUAAAACUGAGCCUGCAAGCAUUUGCCAUUCCGAAAAGGCUGUCAGUUAACUAAGCCAAAAGCUUAUGGAAAUUCUCUCACUUGUAAGGUGCCAUCUUUAGAACACCUUUUGUUUAACUUUAUUUUUAGUUGUUUAGUAGGCAGGCAUUUUUGUAGGGGCUUUAAUCAGACAAGGGGUUUAUGAGGCUAUUCUGAGAGAAGGCAUUUAAUUAAUUCCAGACUUUUCCUCCCUCUUUUGUUCAGCUUAGGUAUACCAUCUACAUACCUAUCUAUAACAACUGAGGUAAAAAUCCUAUGAGAUUUCUAAGAAGUUUGGUUCAUCUUUCAUUAGAUUGCAGCAGAACUGAACCAUAUCCUCUCACUGCUAGACAUUUUUUGAACUAGGUUUUUCCCAGUCUCACUGGGGUAUGUAUGUGAGCUGGAAAGCUUCACAAUGCAUUAAGAUUUCAUGAGGGCCUAAUUCUGUUUUCUCUUACACUGCCCUGAAUCUUCAGCACACAGUGCUUCCACUUCAAUGUAACAUAACUGAGAAUACAGCAAGUCUCUGAGUAGCCAAGCUCCACUGCAUGUACCAUCUAAAAAAAUGGUGUUCUAACCAUGCAACUUGUGAUUUUUAUCUUGAAGAGAUAAAAGUUUAGUGUCAUUACUUCAUUCCUAUUAGAUAAGUGUUUUGGAGACAGGAAAGACAUUUUGGCUUAUAGUAAAAACUUUUAUUCCAAAUGUGCUCUUUUCUUUAACAAAAAAACAAAACAAAACAAAACAAAACCCAACCAUGAAGAAGGCAUUUUGAGAGAUCUUAUUUUGUACUAAAUGGUCAAUGUCCCUUCAUUAUUUUGGCAGGGCUAGGUUGCAUCUGCUGUUUCUGUAUGAAGUCAUGUAAGCAGGCACAGAAUUCUCAUCUUGUUCUGCUGUAUGUCAGGAUCUAAUUGUAGAUUUUGUGCUUUCACGGGAGGUACAAGCUCAGAACAGGACCUAGACAUCUUGUAGACCUGGGACCAGCAAGCACUUUUGCUCAACAUACCAUUAGUAGAAGAGUACACAAGACAAAACAUCAUAGAAUCAGUUCCCUGCCCCCGCAAAUAGCUGUGAGCACCUCAGUUUUUCCUAUUCCUGUCUGUAGCAUACAAUUUAGUCACCAGGAAAAUAAGUGCUGUGGUUUUAAGUAAAGUAGCUGAUGAGAAACUGAGUAAAUGGAUGAGUUCUUAAUUAAGUAAUUAGACAAAUAAGAAGGGAGAGGAUUAUAUGAUACAAAAUUGUGAAUAGAAUAGAAAAAGUAGGUCAGGAAUUUCUGUUCUCCCUAUAUCGUGAUGUAAGAACAAAAUGACAUGCAAUGAAGUUCAGAAGUGAGAAAUUCAAAGCUAAUGAGGGAAUGGUUUCAUGUAACCCAUAAUUAUCUAGUGGAAGCCUUUCACUCCUGGAAGUCCUUGAUGCCAAGGAUUUAUCAAGUUUAGCACUGAGACUAAACUAUCCAGAAUUAUCAGAGAUAACAACAGCUUUACAAAACAAAUUCAACCUUGCUUCUGGUUUUAAUCCAGUCUUAACUCUGAAAGUGAACUCCUUCAGCUUUGACACCUUCCUUUGAGCUAUUUGGUUACGGCCACCACCUGAGAUAGGUCAUUGGAGCACAGAAAUCUGAGUCAGCCUGGUGAUUCUUGCACUUUUAUACCCAUAGUAAAGUCUCCUUUAUAUUUGAUCUGGGGUGUGGGACAAAGUCCCAUCCCAAGGACAUUUACAUGCUAGGCUUGCUCAAAGAGCUACAGCUCCCUGCAAAUGAACAUAGCAAUGAACACAGUUUCUCUGCAGCCAUAGGAGAUACCCAGCUGAAAGAGGAUUCAUCCCCUGCAACAACUAUCAGCAUUCUCGAUGAGAUUUUCAGAGGCAUCCAUGUUACCUGUCUUGGAAAAUGGGCCAUGUGUCUGCGGAUCUUUAAGCCCCUGGGAUCCUUCUCAUGUCACCAGGAGCUCAAAGAUCUGAGGCCUCAUUAUUACUGCUGUUCCAUCAGAGCAGAUCUGCUGCGAACGCACAUUUUUUCUGCACCUUACAUAUUAUUCCAGAUAUUCAAAGCCAACUCUCUCAACCUGACCCAAGUGUAUUAUGGUGCAUUUAAAUCUGAUGUAAAUCAUAAAUUUGCUGAGGACAAGCUGCUUUAUAUUUUCAAUCAACUUUUGGCUCAUGUGUUUUAAGUGUGCUUAAGAGUUUUACACACUUUCAUCAAAACCAGAUGAUUCGAUUAUUUUCUGUAUUCAUAGUACACCAUUGCUUUGCCUGCAUAUUUACAGCAGCUAUUAAAACAUAUGAAAGUCAUCAUGUGCUUCAGAAGGAUCAGGGUAAUCACAUCCACCAGUGAAACACAUUAAUUUUCAGCCUAUUCCAGCAAGAUAUGGAAGAAGAAAAUCAUCAAGAACCAAAACUAUUGGAUAUUGUUGGUUUACUUGGAGCAUGGGGUUGGAGGUCCCCUAGAGCCUGGUGGCAUUUCUGUUGACCGAGGUGAUGACAGAGACUCCUGUCAUAUUUCAAUGAGAGCUACCUGAUGAAACUGACAGUGCCGAUGACAGUUCAACUGGCACAUAAACCCAGAGAUUUUUUCUGUUCCUAAAUAAACAUAUUGUCUUUGCUCCAGGAGAGAGCCUUCAAGGCUGUGCAGCUCUGGAAUUUACUUACAUGCACCUUCCUGACAUGGGAUGCUGAAAUGUUACACAGUAAAUCUGCAUUCUGUAUUAAUAUGAAACCAUAUUGUAGUAGCUUAAUAGAGGAUAAAGCAGAAAAAAAAGCUUGAAUGAAAACAACUCAAGAGAAAUCACGUCCUGGUAAAAUACUUAUGUGUGUUAAAAGACAAUGCCAGGCCAGGAAACAAACAGCAGCAUAAAAUUAGAAUGGCUACAGCAGUUUAAGUAGAGACUCUCACAAGAAUAGCAACUGUUGGAGCUCUUCAAACUGAUACAGGCAUCUACAGACACAUCUGUAAAGAUGCUAGUUUAGCCUGCAGGGUGUCAGGCCCUGGUCUUACAGUGAAACAAAUGUAUGCACUGACUUCUUGAUACUUCAGCAACCAGUUAUCUUAAUUAAGUUUGUUCCUCCUGUGAAGCAAAAAUAACAACUUUGGUUACCGUCUUCUGCAAUAUCACAGACUUUCACUGGAAAAAGCUAUAGUUACAGAUUCAGUUGCGAAAGUGUGUGGCUAAGCACAACUAGUAUACAUGGUGUGUCCCUGAAUCCCACUUGGAAGAUGCUAAAUUCACGAGGCCAGAUUUUAUGUGCCUUAUAGCAAUAAGAUUUCAGUCACUGCAUAUGCAUAUGUAAGUUUUGCAUUCCACAGUGACUUUGUUUCCAAACUUUGACCACACAUGCAGUUCAUGUAAGAUGCUUUCAUGUAAGAUGGUUCAUCUAAGAAUUGGUUCCAGCAAUUCAUUUCAUUAGCAAAGUUAAAUAUAACUUUGUCAGUGUAAAGUGAUAUCUUCAGUAAAAUUCAGCCUGCUCUAGAAAAAAAUACAUAAAGGAAACCUGCUGUAGAACAAUAAUCUGUGCUUUCUGGCAACAAAGAGACAACAGAGUGGUAAAUAAA